CAGACCUGAAAUCAGGCGAGGUUACCCGCUGAACUUAAGCAUAUUAUUAAGCGGAGGAGAAGAAAAUAACUAUGAUUCCCUUAGUAACGGCGAGUGAACCGGGAUCAGCUCAAAGUGGAAAUCAACUGCUCUUUCCGAGCUGUUGACUUGUAGCCUCGAGAGGCGUUACCAGUGGAAGCGCAGGGUUAAGUUUCUUGGGAAAGAACAUCAUAGAGGGUGAGAAUCCCGUCCUUCCCCUGCGUUUUUUGUUCCACGUACGGUACGCUUUUAUAGAGUCGCGUUCAUCGGGAUUUGAGCGCAAAAUGUGUGGUAGGUUUCACAUAAAGCUAAGUACUGGCGCGAGACCGAUAGCAAACAAGUACCGUGAGGGAAAGAUGAAAAGUUCUUUGGAAAGAGAGUUAAAAGUGCCUGAAAUUGCUGAAAAGGAAGCGAUUGGGACCUUUUUGAUUCCAAGAAGUGCCGCCGGUUUGCCAUCUAUCCCUUUGCCUUCUCUCUCUCACCAGGUUUAGGCUUUGGUUUCUUGAUGUAUUUCCGGUUCAUCUUUUUGGAGAGGUCAGCAUCAGCUACUCGGAAUUGAUUUCGUUCAAAGAAGGUAGGUUCCUUGUGGACCGUUAUAUCUUUGUUCUUUCCUUUUCCUUGUGGCUGAGGAGUGUUCCUGUUUCCGAGCUCAACUUUCGAGUACUCGGUUUCUGUGAUGCUGGCU
rnacentral:rRNA from 1 species